rnacentral:rRNA from 1 species
AGUGAACGCUGGCGGUAGGCCUAACACAUGCAAGUCGAACGGCAGCACAGUAAGAGCUUGCUCCUACGGGUGGCGAGUGGCGGACGGGUGAGGAAUACAUCGGCAUCUACUUUUUCGUGGGGGAUAACGUAGGGAAACUUACGCUAAUACCGCAUACGACCUACGGGUGAAAGCAGGGGAUCUUCGGACCUUGCGCGAUUGAAUGAGCCGAUGUCGGAUUAGCUAGUUGGCGGGGUAAAGGCCCACCAAGGCGACGAUCCGUAGCUGGUCUGAGAGGAUGAUCAGCCACACUGGAACUGAGACACGGUCCAGACUCCUACGGGAGGCAGCAGUGGGGAAUAUUGGACAAUGGGCGCAAGCCUGAUCCAGCCAUACCGCGUGGGUGAAGAAGGCCUUCGGGUUGUAAAGCCCUUUUGUUGGGAAAGAAAAGCAGCAGGUUAAUACCCCGCUGUUCUGACGGUACCCAAAGAAUAAGCACCGGCUAACUUCGUG